rnacentral:rRNA from 1 species
GACGUAGGGGGCCAGCGUUGUUCGGAAUUACUGGGUGUAAAGGGUUCGUAGGCGGUGCGGCAAGUCGGGAGUGAAAUCUCUGGGCUUAACCCAGAGACUGCUUCCGAAACUGCUGUGCUGGAGUGUGGGAGAGGCGCGUGGAAUUGCAGGUGUAGCGGUGAAAUGCGUAGAUAUCUGCAGGAACACCCGUGGCGAAAGCGGCGCGCUGGACCACUACUGACGCUGAGGAACGAAAGCUAGGGGAGCAAACAGG